GACGAACGCUGGCGGCGCGCUUAACACAUGCAAGUCGAACGGAAAGGCCUGCUUUCCCUUGUGGAUUGCGGGUACUCGAGUGGCGAACGGGUGAGUAACACGUGAGUGAUCUGCCCCCAACUUGGGUAUAGGCCUGGGAAACUGGGUCUAAUUCCCGAUAGGACUGCAGGGUGGUGCCUGUGGUGGCAAACGAUUUUCUAGUGGUUGGGGAUGAGCUCGCGGCCUAUCAGCUUGUUGGUGGGGUAAUGGCCUACCAAGGCGGCGGCGGGUAGCCGGCCUGAGAGGGGGGACGGCCACAUUGGGACUGGGAUACGGCCCAGACUCCUACGGGAGGCAGCAGUGGGGAAUAUGGCACAAUGGGCGGAAGCCUGAUGCAGCGACGCCGCGUGGGGGAUGACGGCCUUCGGGUUGUAAACUCCUUUCGACCGCGAGGAAGCCACCUGGUUGGAAGGGUGGUGACGGUAGUGGUAGAAGAAGCACCGGCUAACUACGUG
rnacentral:rRNA from 1 species